rnacentral:rRNA from 1 species
UACGUAGGGCGCGAGCGUUGUCCGGAAUUAUUGGGCGUAAAGAGCUCGUAGGCGGUUUGUCGCGUCUGCCGUGAAAGUCCGGGGCUCAACUCCGGAUCUGCGGUGGGUACGGGCAGACUAGAGUGAUGUAGGGGAGACUGGAAUUCCUGGUGUAGCGGUGAAAUGCGCAGAUAUCAGGAGGAACACCGAUGGCGAAGGCAGGUCUCUGGGCAUUAACUGACGCUGAGGGAAGCAGGAAA